rnacentral:rRNA from 1 species
UACCAGCACCCCGAGUGGUCGGGACGAUUAUUGGGCCUAAAGCCUCCGUAGCCGGUUCUACAAGUCUUCCGUUAAAUCCACCUGCUUAACAGAUGGGCUGCGGAGGGUACUAUAGAGCUAGGAGGCGGGAGAGGCAAGCGGUACUUAGUGGGUAGGGGUAAAAUCCGUCGAUCCAUUGAAGACCACCAGUGGCGAAGGCGGCUUGCCAGAACGCACUCGACGGUGAGGGAUGAAAGCUGGGGGAGCAAACCGG